UACAGAGGGUGCAAGCGUUGUUCGGAAUCAUUGGGCGUAAAGGGCGUGUAGGCGGUUUGUUAAGUCAUGUGUGAAAUCCCUCGGCUCAACCGGGGAACGACGCUUGAAACUGGCAAGCUAGAGUACCAAAGAGGGUCGCGGAAUUCCCGGUGUAGAGGUGAAAUUCGUAGAUAUCGGGAGGAACACCGGUGGCGAAGGCGGCGACCUGGGUCGAGACUGACGCUGAGGUGCGAAAGCGUGGGGAGCAAACAGG
rnacentral:rRNA from 1 species